AGGAGCCGGAUGACCGGAGACGUCACGUCCGGUUCUGUGAGCGCCUUGGGGGUAGCUCUUCGGGGCGACUCAAC
rnacentral:ncRNA from 1 species